rnacentral:rRNA from 1 species
GGUUAAGUUACUAAGGGCACACGGUGGAUGCCUUGGCAGUCGAACCGAUGAAGGACGUGGCUACCUGCGAUAAGCCUCGGUGAGCUGGAAGCAAGCUUUGACCCGGGGGUGUCCGAAUGGGGAAACCCACCAGAGCGAACCUCUGGUAUCCCACGCUGAAUAUAUAGGCGUGAGGAGGGGAACCCAGGGAACUGAAACAUCUAAGUACCUGGAGGAACAGAAAGAAACCUCGAUUCCCUUAGUAGUGGCGAACGAAAAGGGAAUAGCCCAAACCACUCCCUUCGGGGAGUGGGGUUGUAGGACCGGCAACUAACGGGACCCGAACGUCUAGCCGAAGCGUACUGGUA